GUUUUUUGAGGAAAGAAAUCACUUUCAAAUUGAAUUUUAUCACUGCCAAUACUUAUAUCACAGCCAUUUUUCUCAUGUUUUUUGGUUGUGUCUGUUAGUCUUGUUUUUGUUGCUUUAUGAAUUUCUUUGUUCAAAAGAUUUAUCCUCGUCCGUCUUAAGGUUAUCACAAUUGACCUCUGGUGUUGCUCUUAUUCUCCGAACAUCAUUUUCAAUUACAAUUAAAAUGAAAAAAAAAAGCAUUUAAGUAAUGCUUCUAAAAUUUGAUAGAUCAUACCGCAGUACAAGGGCCAUGAACAUCCUUAAUCUUAUACUGUGUACAAAGUGUGAAUCUAGAACUACCUUCGUGAACUAGGGGCCUAUAAUAGCUUUUGUAAUUUUCAAGUUUCGGCGUAACCGUUGAUUUUCAAGUUGUUGUUUUUCUUGUCUGAUAUUAUUGCUUAAAUAUGAAUAUAAUGCAACACUUCGCUUAUGAACAACGAUGAAUAUGGGAAGCAGAAUAAAAGAAGGCAUUACCGCAUUUUAUCUGUCAAACAAACCAAUCGUGUGUCCGAUUCGCACUUUGUUCGCAAGUGAUCGUUUUAUAAAGAUUUUUUUUUUUUCAAAAGAAGAUCGAGACAAAAUUACGUUUCGGGAACAUUUAAAAAAAAACACAAAGGACUCAAUACAAAAAUAAACAAAAAAAGAGGGACACGACCUUGCAGAAAGAUAAAAAAAAAAGAAAAAAAAAACA
rnacentral:lncRNA from 1 species